AUGGAAAAGAAUUCAUGAUCAACCCUUCCAAUUUAUAAGAGAAUAUAGACCUUACAACUAUUGCCCAGGCAAAGCUUCUUGCUAAUGCUUGUAGCAAGCUUAUGAUGAUGGUAUGAGAAACCACCACUACUCAUGAUUAGCCAAGCUCUUAUCAAGUGGAUCCACUAGUCGAUCAAAUUAGAUCAAGACCAAAGAGGAAUCAUCAUAGACAUCAUCGAUGAUGAGGAAGGAUAGCAACAAAUGCCCCUAUCAUAGAGUCAAGAUAUAGGAGCAAAAUAAAUGGUUCACCA
rnacentral:lncRNA from 1 species